UUUAUAUAAUUUUUUUAAUAUAAUUAUAUUGUUUUAUUAAUUUUAUUUUAAUAGAAAUAUCUUUAUUUUUAGUAUUUUGAAAAGAAAUAAUUACAUAUAUUGAUAGUUUAUUUUACUGUAAAGGUUAAAUUAUUUAUAAUUUAAAAGUAGAUUUUAUUUAUCGUACCUUUUGUAUCAGGGUUUAUCAAAUUAUUUUAAUUAUAUUAAUUAUCCCGAAUUUAUAAGAGAUAUUUACAAUUGUUAUUUAAUGUUUUAUAAUUAUUAAUAAAUUGUAAAUAGAAAUUAUAUGUUAUUCAUUUAUAAAUAUCUGGUUUUUUGAUAAUUGAAUUUAAUUCAGAAUUAAUAUAUUUUAUUUAAUUAUUUUAUUUUAAAUAAAUUUAUUAAUUUAAGGUUAUAAAGGAUAAGCUAUAUAUCUUUACCAUAAAUUUUAUUUAAUAAAAAGUUUUGUAGGAUUAGAAAUUUUCAUCAUUUAUUUUGUUAUAAUUAAUUUUUAUUUAUAUUUUAUUUAAUAUUUUAUUGGGUUUUUAUCAAAAUAUAUUAAUUAAUAAAUUAUUAUUAGUUAUUAUGAUAAAAUUAGUAUAUUAUAUAAUUAAUAUAUAGUAACUUGGCAAUUUUAAUUCCCACCUGUUUAACAAAAACAUGUCUUAAUGUUAAGUUUUUAUUAAGUCUGUCCUGCUCAAUGACUUUAGGUUAAAUAGCCGCAGUAUCUUGACUGUGCGAAGGUAGCAUAAUCAUUUGUCUUUUAAUUGAAGGCUUGUAUGAAUGGGUUGAUGAGGAAUUUCCUUUCUUUAUAUUAAAUGUUGAAUUUAAUUUUUUAGUUAAAAAGCUUAAAUUUUUUAAUGGGACGAGAAGACCCUAUAGAAUUUUAUUUAUAAUUUAUAUAUAUAUUUUUUGGUAUAUUUAAAAUAUUUUAAAUAUCUUAUUAAUUUUGUUGGGGUGACAUUGAGGUUUUUUUAACCCUCAUAUUUAAUAAUAUUUAUUUAUAAAUAUUAUUUAGGAUCCUAUUUUAAGGAUAAUUAGAUUAAAUUACCUUAGGGAUAACAGCGUAAUUUUUCUGGAGAGUUCUUAUUGAUGGAAAAGUUUGCGACCUCGAUGUUGGAUUAAAAUAAGAUUUAAGUGCAGAAGCUUAAAUUCUAGGUCUGUUCGACCUUUAAAUUUUUACAUGAUCUGAGUUCAGACCGGCGUGAGCCAGGUCGGUUUCUAUCUUUUAAAUAAUAAAUAUAAAUUAGUACGAAAGGACCAUUUAUAUCAAAUAUUUUGUUUAAUAAUAUGAAUAUUCUUA
rnacentral:rRNA from 1 species